CCCCUAUUUACUGUUCAUUAUUUAAUUUGUUUGACCUCAUAGAAUUGAUUUACAACAAUAAAGGGUUGUCUAGCACAUUAUUUUUUUCUCAUACUUUAUGAGUAUUACAACCCCUAUGUGAAACACCCUGUUGCUUAGAAUUUUGAGGCAUUUAGAAUCUUGGUGCUGACAGGGUGCUGAGUGCUGACGUCUCUUCAGGCACUCUGUCUACUAUGGCUGCAGUGCUGCCGUACCAAUUUGAGCCUGAGUCGGACCCCGAAAGCGAUAAUGGAGCUGAAGACGCUAACGACGAGCGUGAUUUUAGUCGUAGAAUGGACCAGGACAUUUCACAGUGGUGCACCUGUGGGAAUUGUGCCACUAUGCCCAACGAAGUGGAGAACGUCUGCUGUAGAGAAAUCCCAAAGGUAAAACUGAUGAGCUUUAGGCUAAGCUAGUUUGUUGAGAACGAUGUCAUGUCAUAUAUCUAUCAUCUUCGGCGAUAAAUAUAUAUAUAUAUAUAUAUAUCUCGCCGUAGAUGAUAGAUCUAUGACAUAUGACAGAUAUAUAUAUAUUUCUCCUCAGAAGACGAGGAGCCUACCACUAUCACCACAAAACCUUAUUAACUUCUAGUAAAAUAUGUUGCAUGUUUAGAUCAUCUCUACUAUUUAUAGUAACAACAGUAAUACCAGUACAGGAAAACGAGUAAUCUCACCGUUCUCACCCGUUUGCUGUAGUACCAGCCAACUGUACCAUGUUUGUUAUGUGAAGUCAUUGAUACCAUUUUUUGUAAAUAACAAUCCUACUCGAAUAGAUGUUGCUUCAGCAAUACCAGUUACGAGAAAUCUCACCUGUUCACUGUUGUCUCAGCCAUCUAUUUACUGUAUAACAAUCAUUGUUAUGUAGAACUAAUCAGUGAUUUAAAAAAAUGUUCAAUAAAAGUAUGACUGGAAAA